rnacentral:rRNA from 1 species
UACGAAGGGGGCUAGCGUUGCUCGGAAUUACUGGGCGUAAAGCGCGUGUAGGCGGCUUGGCAAGUCGGGUGUGAAAGCCCUGGGCUCAACCUAGGAAGUGCACUCGAAACUGCUUCGCUUGAGUGUCGGAGAGGAAAGCGGAAUUCUCGGUGUAGAGGUGAAAUUCGUAGAUAUCGAGAGGAACACCGGUGGCGAAGGCGGCUUUCUGGACGAUUACUGACGCUGAGACGCGAAAGCGUGGGGAGCAAACAGG